ensembl:lncRNA
GCCUGGGAACGCCUCUGUGUCCCCCCGGAAGAGCUGGAGGAAGUGUCUGGGGAGAGGGAAGUCUGGGCAUCCCUGCUUAGACUGCUGCCCCCGCGACCCGGCCCCGGAUAAGCGGAAGAAGAUGCUUGCAAAGGGCCUGACUCCAUCUCUGGACUUCCCGAUGAACGGUCAACCUCUCAAUGGAAGACAUGAGUGUUAAACCUGUGAAAACAUCGAGCAUCUUAUCAGUAAUAAGGGACCAUGGUCCUUCAGGAUGACAGCCCACCUGCUGACCUGUGUACAGAGGACAGUCUUGCCAGCAGGGUGUUUUCAAGGAGAGCCCAACAUAAGUCCAGUCUAAGAGAAGCCCUCCCCAGCCUGAGUGAGCUAAUUACUCCAGGCUCCUCCACAGACACUCAACAAACCACAGAAGUAGAACAGGUACUGCUCAGAGAGAAGGUGAACACAAGACAUCUGACUGAAGACAAACAGAGGACAAGAUGACUGUGAACCCACAGCACAGUUGUGAAACCCAAGAAAGAAUUGACUGAGCUCUCAGCAGAGGUGAGAGAGCUGGAGAGCGAUAUGGAGAACUGUAAGACAGAGGCAACGAUGUGCCUUCAAACCCAGUUGGACACUAUAGACCUGCCUGAAGCCAACACCAACCAAAUCUGAACUUAGACAUCACCUCCCACCACCACCGCACAACACCCCAACCAUACCACAAAUGCCACUCUACCCCAGCCCCAAAAUCUAACAGCCCCAAAUCUACUCCCUCCAGACCUGAGGACAGACAGGCUGACAUCAUCCUGCUGAUGGAUUCCAAUGGUAAAUUUACUCAAGAGAAACCCUUCCCUGAUCAAAAAACCAAAAGAUGUGGUGCCCUACAAACUGAAGUACAAUGGACCUCCUCAGUACGGCCCAGAUGAGAUCACCACAUUAUAAUACACACUGGGACCAAUGACCUGCGGGCACAGCAAGAGAGAGUGGCCACCUCCAGCGUCCCAACACAAAAAUAGUGGUGUCAGCCCUCCUCCUAAGAACAGAAUUCCACCCAACCACAUCCAGCGCAUGAACGCCAGCCUCUCCAGAGCCUGGGCCCUGAUACCAAAUGUACAGGUGCUGGUCGUAUAAUUAGAACAUCAUCAAAACGUUGAUUUAUUUCAGUAAUUCCAUUCAAAAAGUGAAACAUGUAUAAUGU